rnacentral:rRNA from 1 species
GGCCUAGCAUAUCAAUAAGCGGAGGAAAAGAAACCAACAGGGAUUGCCCUAGUAACGGCGAGUGAAGCGGCAACAGCUCAAAUUUGAAAUCUGGCUCUUUUAGGGUCCGAGUUGUAAUUUGCAGAGAGCGCUUUGGCGUUGGCAGCGGUCCAAGUUCUUUGGAACAGGACGUCACAGAGGGUGAGAAUCCCGUACGUGGUCGCUAGCCUUCGCCGUGUAAAGCCUCUUCGACGAGUCGAGUUGUUUGGGAAUGCAGCUCUAAAUGGGAGGUAAAUUUCUUCUAAAGCUAAAUACUGGCCAGAGACCGAUAGCGCACAAGUAGAGUGAUCGAAAGAUGAAAAGCACUUUGGAAAGAGAGUCAAAUAGCACGUGAAAUUGUUGAAAGGGAAGCGCUUGCAGCCAGACUUGCCUGUAGUUGCUUAUCCGGACUUUUGUCCGGUGCACUCUUCUGCGGGCAGGCCAGCAUCAGUUUAGGCGGUUGGAUAAAGGUCUCUAUCACGUACCUCCCUUCGGGGUUGGCCUUAUAGGGGAGACGACAUGCAACCAGCCUGAACUGAGGUCCGCGCAUCUGCUAGGAUGCUGGCGUAAUGGCUGUAAGCGGCCCGUCUUGAAACACGGACCAAGGAGUCUAACAUCUAUGCGAGUGUUUGGGUGUCAAGCCCAGACGCGUAAUGAAAGUGAACGGAGGUGGGAACCUUUUAGGUGCACCAUCGACCGAUCCUGAUGUCUUCGGAUGGAUUUGAGUAAGAGCAUGGCUGUUGGGACCCGAAAGAUGGUGAACUAUGCUUGAAUAGGGUGAAGCCAGAGGAAACUCUGGUGGAGGCUCGCAGCGGUUCUGACGUGCAAAUCGAUCGUCAAAUUUGGGCAUAGGGGCGAAAGACUAAUCGAACAUCUGUCCC